rnacentral:rRNA from 1 species
UACGUAGGGGGCAAGCGCUGUCCGGAUUUAUUGGGCGUAAAGAGCGUGUAGGCGGCCAGGUAGGUCCGUUGUGAAAACUCGAGGCUCAACCUCGAGCUGUCGAUGGAAACCAUCUGGCUAGAGUCCGGAAGAGGAGAGUGGAAUUCCGGGUGUAGCGGUGGAAUGCGCAGAUAUCGGGAAGAACACCCGUGGCGAAGGCGGCUCUCUGGAACGCAACUGACGCUGAGACGCGAAAGCGUGGGGAGCAAACAGG